UGGGAUACAUCCUCAGUCUGUUCUCAGUGAGGAACCAAACCCUGGGAGCAACUCUGUCAUUGACCUGCCAUUCCAGUGUUUUCUUUAGACGGGGAGUGUUUUAAGAAAUUUGAUUUCCUGAUCUAAAUUUGUAUCUUUAGACCUUUCUGAGAACCAAAUAGACUUGGAAGGGUUGACUGCAUAGACUGCUUUUUCAUGCUCACUCUGUCACAAUGUGGCAAAUACUUGUUUUCCCCAAAUUCACAUUGAAACUGCCUGGAGAAGGAAGUUGGUCCUGAAAAAGACGUGCCUGGCUUCUUAUCCUUUGUCUCUUUUACUACUUUUGCCUCACAACUUUUCUAUUUUCAACUUAAAGGUUUUAAUUAAACAAAAUUUUAUAAAAAUUGAAGCAAUAUAGUAGUUAUAUAAAGUGAAAAGGGAAAGCUCUUCUAUUCCAUAGUACAGAGUUUGAAAGGUGUUCUUCCAGACCUUUUCUACAGCCACUUAAUACUUUUAAAGCAGAAAAUACAAUUUUUUCACUUAAGAAAACCAUCAAGUCCUAAGAAACACUUCAUUUCCAUGUUAGUGAUAUAUCAGAGACAUAACACUGCUGAAAAGAUGAGGAAAAGGAAACUACUACAUAGAAAAAGAGGAAGGGAAGAGGAGAAAAGAAGAAAAAUGAAAUAUGAAAGAAGACAAGACUAGGUAAAGAGAAUGGUUCCUAGCUGUUAUAGGAGUACUCUAUGAAGUAAUUAAUAGCUCUUGCUGUUGCUAUUUACCUGCUAUCUCCAUUGAAAUUGGUUGAUUAAUAGUUCUUUAAUCUUCUUAACUCUUUCUUCCACAUUUCUGAGUCAUAACCCCUAGGCUUAUACAACUAUUUUCUAACAGGUUUUGAGCAAUAGGAACUUUUGUCCAAAAAUGAAAUCUUAUUUCAGAACCUACAUAAUAAAGCUGAUAGGCAGAGCUGCUGUGUUGCCCUAGAGCCCAACCUCUGGCCUCUUCCUCACCUCUAGGCCUCCUGGAAGCAGCACCUUGCCCAAGGGUUUCACUGAUUACAGUUUGGGAUAUACUCUUACUAAGGCCUGUCUCUGCUGAGGAGCAGUAAUUUAAAAGAGAAAAAUAUUCCAGGUUGGAAACAGUAAUGUUCAGAGAGGAUUGUGUGCAUAAUGAUUAAAGGAGCAACUUUAUGUAGUAAUUAAUUAAUUAUUGAAAAUAGUGGUCUUUAUGACUUUUUAGUUGCUUUCUGAUGUUAUUGUAUUUUAAAAUGUGCAAAUCUUUUUUUUUUUUUCUUGAGACAGAGUCGCACUCUGUCACUCAGGCUGGAGUGCAGUGGUGUGAUCUCGGCUCACUGCAACCUCCGCCUCCUGGGUUCAAGCAGUUCUCUGCCUCAGCCUCCUGAGCAGCUGGGAUGACAAGGUGCCGGUCACCACGCCUGGCUAAUUUUUUGUAUUUUUAGUAGAGAUG
rnacentral:lncRNA from 10 species